rnacentral:lncRNA from 1 species
AUCGAAAAGCAAGAAGUAGACAGCGACUAACAUUUAUAGAAGGAAAAACUUUAAAUAUCAUCCCUAUGAUUUCAUACUUUCUUAUUUUAGUACUAUAUGGUUUAAAGUAUAUCAAUUUAGUGUCAUGUGAUUUUAUUUUUAUCUUUUUUUAUCAAUUUCACAAUUUUUUUCGUUAAAUCAGUGACAAAGUUAAAGCUAAAGAUACUAAAGUAAAUAUUCGAUAAAGUUAGAUGGAGUAAAUAAAGUUUUUUUGUAUAUAAUUUAACGAAAUAUUAUCAAAGAAGUUAACGAAAAGAUAAAAAUAAAAUCACAUGACACUAACUUGAUACACUUUAAACAUAGAGUAUUAAAGUGAGAAAGAGUGAAACCACAAGAGUGGUAUCUGAAGUUUACCCUUUAUAGAACUCAGGCAAAUAUAUAUAUUAAAAAAAAGUUAACAAUUAAAAAAUUCAUAAAUUUUGAUUCAAUAAUUAUUAAAUUAUAUUUAACUCAAACAUCUAGCCUGAGUUAAUGGUCUAAAUCAAUUUUACGUAUGAUAAUAAAAUUAAUUUUUUAAAUAAUAAAAAAUUUA